GUGAGGAAUAUUGGUCAAUGGGCGAGAGCCUGAACCAGCCAUGUCGCGUGAAGGAUGAAGGUCCUAUGGAUUGUAAACUUCUUUUGCAGGAGGGUAAAGUGAGCUACGUGUAGUUCAUUGCAAGUACCCUGCGAAUAAGCAUCGGCUAACUCCGUGCCAGCAGCCGCGGUAAUACGGAGGAUGCGAGCGUUAUCCGGAUUUAUUGGGUUUAAAGGGUGCGUAGGCGGACUAAUUAGUCAGCGGUGAAAUUUUGCGGCUCAACCGUAAAACUGCCGUUGAAACUGUUAGUCUUGAGUGCGGUAGAGGUAGGCGGAAUGUGUGGUGUAGCGGUGAAAUGCUUAGAUAUCACACAGAACACCGAUUGCGUAGGCAGCUUACUGGAGCGCAACUGACGCUGAGGCACGAAAGCGUGGGGAUCGAACAGGAUUAGAUACCCUUGUAGUCC
rnacentral:rRNA from 1 species